CCUUUCAGACCAGGCUUCGAGAAGCGUGUGCCUUUGGUGGGUGAUGGGAAGGAUGCACAAAGACACAGCUGUCUCCCAGCAGUCUGUGUGCCUGCGUGCCCUCCUGGCUGCAGAGAGGUAUGUGAGAGGCAUUGCAGAACGCGUCAGUCCGGCAACAUGUAGGCAAUGAUCAUCAUGCAAGAAGAAGCUUUCUUUGCAUCUGGGGAAAAAUGACUUUUCUGUACGCAGUGGUUGCUCCCACUCGAUUAUUGUCACGUAAGACCUUGAUUUAAUGCAGGUUUCAGUUACAGGAAGCUCACGAGAGAGGCCGUGUCAAUAAGAGCAAUGGCUGUAGUGCCUGUCACGACCGCACGCCUUUCUCAGGAAUAGAGAACGAAGGCUGGAAGCUCUCCUGCUGCCUCUGCCAGAAGUGGUGUCAGGUUCCGCGUGUCCCCUGUGAUGUGACCAAGCAGACAGCGCAGAAGAAUAAAUAACAAAAAUGCUUAACUGUGCUGUGCUGAUAGGAGGGCAGACUUCCAUCACCCAGCCCUGCAAGCAGAGGAGAAUCUGUAGCAAUAUUGGGAAGGAAAGUGGAGACAAGUUACCUUUACUAUUCCAUGGGAAAAUAAGCUGUUGGAUUAUUGUCUGGAAACUGUGAAUUGCCAAGAUGAGCAACGAGAGGCUGGAGAACCCUGGACCCUCCCCACUGACUGAAGGCCUGAAGAGAAAGAGGGGGAGACCAAAGAAGCAGCCGCAGGAGGAGGCUGUGGGACCACUGCCGGAGAAAAAGCCACGAGGAAGGCCAAAAGGAAGCAAGAAAGUGAGCAGUGUAACUGGACAAAUGGUAGAACCUCCUGCUGGGAAGAGGCCCCGAGGAAGGCCCCGCAAGUGGCCUCAGCUGGUGACACAAGGAGCAUCUCAGGAAAGCAGUCCUCAGGGAAGCGGUGACAUGGACGUGAACACGGCGCCUGCCACACAAGGCAUCACUGGAAAAGACAGUUUCAAGCCCAGCAAAGCUACUGCUGUGCGGAGGUCUCUGAGCAGCAUCGCCGCCGCAGCUCAGUAGUGUGCCGCCUGCUCACGUCCUGCUGGAGCCAGAGGACAGGAAAGCAAGCAGCAUUCUUACUGCUGUGUUUCAGAUUGUUCUUUCUGAUGAUUUCGGCUGUGCUUUCCCUCCUGCUGUCUGCUGCUUUACCCCAAACGUCCAAGCAGAGACUGGAGGGACAAAACAGCAAAUGCCUUCUCAGGGAGAUGCUUUUCUUUGUAGUAGAUUUUUUGAGGAUAUUGAUCUUUUUUACAGUACUUCAGGAAAACACGGGGCCUCGUGCUGCCACAGGUAGUGAUAGUUCGAUAGGGUGAUAGUGUUGUCUCAGUUAUACAGAUACAGGAGAGGAAACCAAUCUGCAUAGCUAACCAUUGGACUUGCAUCCUUCCACCUCUGGUACAUGACGGUGUGAUCCCAGGAAUUUGAUUUUGUUGAUUUGCUCAUGGGGAAUGCAUCUGAAAGACAGAAUUCUUCCCUCACUGUACCACAAAGGAGAAAAAAAAAACAAACCCAAAACCAACUCGAUGGCAUUUGCAGCUUACCUACAGUCGUUGCUCCAGUGGUCAGCAGCUUGGAUGCUUUAGAGCAAAGCUCCCAGCCCAGCACCUCGGGGAUUGACUGAAAUAUUUCUCCUGGUGUUAUCAGCUCAGGGCCAUCUUCCAUACCUCGCUGUUGCCUCGUGGCACAGCCCCUGGAUUUAAUAGCUUAAUAAUAUUUACAAAGCUUAGUCACAGCCACUGGAUUUCAUCACCUCCAAGGAGUGCCUCAAUGGCUGCUGCUUUGCAGAGCUUCGGGAUGCAACUGAAAUUGCUGUUGCACCUGCAUGCAAAAUGUGCUCUGUGGGGUCCUCUAGUGUUGCAGCUGUGCAAAUAAAAGCUAGCUGCUACCUAGCAGCCAGCAGCACGCAUGUCAGCUCAAGCUUCCAGUGUCAAAGAGCAUCUUGCUACGGUCUGAGGAAUGGGGAUAUUUCCAUUAUCCCCUUGCAAACAGUGAAAUCCUGACGGUAUUUUCCACCUGGUGGAUGCUCUGCCUGCCUAUUAAAGGAAUAAAUUGGGUGUUUCAAUUAUCUUUGACAGGAUGUAAAAUGGGCUAGCUUUACAGUGUUAAAUAUUUAAACAGGACAUAAUUGGCUUUAAAUUUAUGGCAGCUCAUAGCAGAAACCCAUGAAAUGGCAGUAUGUAUUGAGCUCAUUUAUUAUCCUUUCGUGGGGUCCGUUUCCUUAGCAGGUAUGUAUUUAACACAAGAAAACAUCUGCAGGCAUAAGAGUUAAGAGGAAGGGCUGGCUGGGGAGAGAGAAUAGAAACACAUUUUCUUUCCCCUCUCGGUCACUUUGUCCAGUCUACCCAGUUCAGCGGCAGUCAGGGGUCCGACCCUGGUGACUGUGUUCCCAGGUUUGCCCUAACAGUAGUUUCUUGUGUAUGGAGUUUGGUGGUCUGGGCAGAAAACCACAUCACAGAACUCUUUGUGCCUCCCCUGCCCCGUACCAGGGAAAUCAAGGAUCAGAUGGGUCACAGGGGGUGACCUAAACCUGCAGGAUGAGGCAUACUGCUGGGUGUGGAAGUCUGACGGCCUCCUGCUGCCCGCUCACAUCCAGCUGGGACACCAUAUGUGCCAGUCUGUCCCUGCUGACUGCUCCUGAGCUCAGGGUAGGCACUGGUAUUCCUCUGUGGACACAAAUUCAUCUGCACUUCACGUCUGCAUUCAAAGGGCGCUCCGGUGAUGGAGAUAUCUUACCAGCUUCUUUGCCUGAUUGGUAAUUUAGACAGAUUUAGUAUUUUUCUUUCAAGACUGUACUGUGUAUUUCAUCGAGCCCUAUUGCCUGAGAGCAGUAACCGCUACCAACGUGAGACUGGAAUCUCAGCUUCUCUGAACGGAUUGGGUUUGGCAUCUGUCCAGCUUCUCCUAUGAUACCAGGCAAACCUUUCGUAGCUCAUGAUGUGGUGCAGGGGUGGAAACUGCCUCAGCCAGACAGUAAAUGCUCUGGGAUCAGCUUAGUAGCAUUCCUUUGGGAAUUUAAGUACUCCUUCUCUUGGAAACAAAAAAAAUCUAGCAUUUGCUACCUCUCAGCUGGGAAACCACAGGAGAAAACAGGAGUCUCUGAAAAUGUGACUGCUUUAGAGCAAGCAGAAUUCCGUGCUGUUUUGGGCUACUCUGCGUGCAGUCAAAAUCCCACUCCGUAACUUCAGCUUCCACUUCUAUGCGGAGACUGGGAAUGAAAUUCAGCACCUACAAAAGGCAGGCAGAAUUCCAGUCGUCUUCAGAGACAGCAUCUAACCCUGGAUUUUCUUAUUUGAAAUGAUCAACACUUUCUUUUUGCCGUAGUGAGUUUCAUUUUCAGUGCAGCCAAAUCCUACCUCUAAGCAAAUGCCUUUCCAGUGUUCCUAAGCUUGGACAGUUUGGGUCUGAAUUGUAAACAGGUCACUGCAGUUGGAUUAGAACAGCGCAGAUGACACAGAUUUGUUAUCCAGCGAAGUUUUAAGAUUCUCACAAAUGGUUCUGGUUUGGAUGUAGGCAUAAAAAGAGUUGGCGAUUUGCAAAUGAACCUUGGAGUUUAUUUUUAAUAAAGGUAUAAAACUUUUAGUA